GUCUGGAUAGCUCAGAGGUUAGAGCAUAGAAUUGAAGAUUCUUGUGUCAUAGGUUCAAAUCCUAUUCUAGACA
rnacentral:tRNA from 1 species